CCGCUUCCCCUCUGCGCUGUCGGAUAUCAGAAGCUUCUGCUUCUCAACCUCUUCCUCCAGCUCGCACACCCGCGCACGCAGGUCAGACACAGUCUUCCGUGCAGCAUCUGCUACUUCGAGCAGCUUGACAUGCUCCAGGUGCAGCUGAUGCAAGUGGCUGUCCAUCUCCUUCAGCUUUUCAUCACGAGUAGUGACAUCAAUCAGCAGAAUGGACACUUUGUUUUCAACUGCAGAUUUCUCUGAGGACAGUAGCUCAAGCUUCUUCUUAAGAUCGGCAAUGGUUUCAUUCAGUUCAGAUAUUUGUUCCUCACUCUUGAGGGAAG
rnacentral:lncRNA from 1 species